UGCAGGCAAUAUUUUAUGUAGUAACAGAGGGUUCCGAUCAUGACUCAGAUUGAACGCUGGCGGGAUGCUUUACACAUGCAAGUCGAACGGUACAUUAACGGACUUCGGUCUGGUGCUUGGCGAGUGGCGAACGGGUGAGUAACGUAUCGGAACGUGCCUAGUAGCGGGGAUAACUACGCGAAAGCGUAGCUAAUACUGCAUAACCUUCGGGGGAAAGUAACUUCCGGCCUGCAUCAUUGAGAGCAGCUGAUAAUCAUAUGAUUUUCAGGGCUUAGGUUGGUGGGGCAUCACCACCAAGGCGACGAUCCGUAGCUGGUCGAAGAGAGACGACCGCCAUUCACCAGACUGACACGGCCCAGACUCCUACGGGAGGCAGCAGUGGGCGCGAAUUUUGGACAAUGGGGAAACUCCCUGAACUGCUCACCUGGUGAGCGAGGCGCUUCAGCCAGCGCGACGCCAGAGGAGUGAAACCAGCAAUCCCGGUAGAUACUGCCAGCGAACUGACGGUACCUGCAGAAUAAGCACCGGCUAACUACGCCAGCAGCCGCGGUAAUACGUAGGGUGCGGUGAACCUGGAACUACACUGGGCGUAAAAGCGUGCCAGGCAGGCGGUUCAAGAAAGAUAUGAAAUCCCAGAGCUUAACUUUGGAACUGCAUUUUUAACUACCGAGCUAGAGUGUGUCAGAGGGAGGUGAAUUCGCGUAGCAGUGAAACUGCGUAGAUAUGCAAGAGGAACACCGACGGACGAAGGCAGCCUCUGGGAUAACACUGACGUCAUGCACGAAAGCGUGGGGAGCAAACAGGAUUAGAUACCCUGGUAGUCCACGCCCUAAACGAUGGUUCGAACUAGCCUUGCCAAAUUCCCGGGCCCCUGGUAGCGCAGCUAACGCGUGAAGUUGACCGCCUGGGGAGUACGGUCGCAAGAUUAAAACUCAAAGGAAUUGAUAUUCAGCGGUGAUCCGCACAGCAGAGAGAGCUGAUUGAAUCUGACAAACGCGAAAACCUUACUCAUCCCGACAUAUCUGGAAUCCCGAAGAGAUUUGGGGAGUGCUCGCAAGAGAACCGGAACACAGGUGCUGCAUGGCUGUCGUCAGCUCACGUCGAGAUGUCGAACGCUCGUCCUCACAACGAGUACAACAACCCUUUGUCAUUAGUUGCUACGAAAGGGCACUCUAAUGAGACCCUGCCGGUGACCAAACCGGGAGGAAGGUGGGGGAUGACGUCAAGUCCUCAUGGCCCUUAUGGGUAGGGUUUCACACGUCAUACAAUGGUCGGGACAGAUGCGGUCGCCAACCCGUCGAGGGGGAGCCAAUCCCAGAAACCCGAUCGUGGUCCGGAUCGCAGUCUGCAACUCGACUGCGUACAGUCGGAAUCGCCCAGUAAUCGCGGAUCGGCGCAUGUCGCGGUGUGAAGAUCCACGUUCCCGGGUCUUGUACACACUGCCUGUCACACCAUGGGAGUGGGUUUUACCGGUGAAGUAGUUAGCCUAACCGUAAGGAGGGCGAUUACCACGGUAGGAUUCAUGACUGGGGUGAAGUCGUAACAAGGUAG
rnacentral:rRNA from 1 species